rnacentral:rRNA from 1 species
CACCGGCGCAGGACGCGCCAAGGAAACGAAACGAACGAGCGCGCCCCCGCCCGCGUAACGGGGGCGACGGGGCGACGCCUCUUUCGCUUACGCAAAACGACUCUCGGCAACGGAUAUCUUGGCUCUCGCAUCGAUGAAGAACGUAGCGAAAUGCGAUACUUGGUGUGAAUUGCAGAAUCCCGUGAACCAUCGAGUCUUUGAACGCAAGUUGCGCCCGAAGCCAUCCGGCCGAGGGCACGUCUGCCUGGGCGUCACGC